AUUUUUCAGUACUUGCAUGCAUCCAAUUCUUUUCUUCUCUUCUGAAGCUAACAGCUGAAGUGGGUUAUUUGGAGUCAUGGAUAUAGAGAAAUUGAGUUCAAACUCAACAUAGACUUCGGCUAGAACUCUAAUAGGUAGCUUGAAUCCGGCGAUCACCACAAUGAUCAUCGGCACUCUUGGUCGUUUUUUCUGUCACUGCGGUGCUGCGAAUUUGGAGCUUCCUCUUCGAAAUUCGGUCAGCUUGUUACGAUUUGUUUGGAGGAUUUGUACAUGCAAAUUUAUUCUGAUUGCAGUCUACAGGCUACUAAGGCUUCUCCGGAUCAAUUCUUCCAUGUGCAUGCGCUUUGGAAAUUGAGUUGCUGCAUAAAUUCAAACUUUGCCAUGGCGCUUCUUGUCCUUUUUGUCUUGUUUUACUCUCCUUCCUUGUUGCUUUAUUAUUUAUUUGAGUUACUAUUUUUUUUAGUUAACUCAAUUAUUACACGGGAAUGUUGAAUAAGGGGUAAAAUUAAAAAUUUAUAUAAUUAUUUUGCUAAUGUUAGUAUUUUUUGUCUAAAUUCUGACAAAAGAGGGACAUGUGUAAACAAUAAACUUUUGAGGGGAUGUAAGUAUAAUUUCUUAAAUA